CGUACACUCCUGCGGGAGGCAGCAGUGGGGAAUAUUGCACAAUGGGCGCAAGCCUGAUGCAGCCAUGCCGCGUGUAUGAAGAAGGCCUUCGGGUUGUAAAGUACUUUCAGCGGGGAGGAAGGCAAUACGGUUAAUAACCGUGUUGAUUGACGUUACCCGCAGAAGAAGCACCGGCUAACUCCGUGCCAGCAGCCGCGGUAAUACGGAGGGUGCAAGCGUUAAUCGGAAUUACUGGGCGUAAAGCGCACGCAGGCGGUCUGUCAAGUCGGAUGUGAAAUCCCCGGGCUCAACCUGGGAACUGCAUUCGAAACUGGCAGGCUUGAGUCUUGUAGAGGGGGGUAGAAUUCCAGGUGAAGCGGUGAAAUGCGUAGAGAUCUGGAGGAAUACCGGUGGCGAAGGCGGCCCCCUGGACAAAGACUGACGCUCAGGUGCGAAAGCGUGGGGAGCAAACAGGAUUAGAUACCCCGGUAGUCCCAUGAU
rnacentral:rRNA from 1 species